rnacentral:rRNA from 1 species
GAUGAACGCUGGCGGCGUGCUUAACACAUGCAAGUCGAACGAAGCACUUUAUUUGAUUUCCUUCGGGACUGAUUAUUUUGUGACUGAGUGGCGGACGGGUGAGUAACGCGUGGGUAACCUGCCUUGUACAGGGGGAUAACAGUUGGAAACGGCUGCUAAUACCGCAUAAGCGCACGGCAUCGCAUGAUGCAGUGUGAAAAACUCCGGUGGUAUAAGAUGGACCCGCGUUGGAUUAGCUAGUUGGUGAGGUAACGGCCCACCAAGGCGACGAUCCAUAGCCGACCUGAGAGGGUGACCGGCCACAUUGGGACUGAGACACGGCCCAAACUCCCACGGGAGGCAGCAGUGGGGAAUAUUGCACAAUGGGCGAAAGCCUGAUGCAGCGACGCCGCGUGAGCGAAGAAGUAUUUCGGUAUGUAAAGCUCUAUCAGCAGGGAAGAUAAUGACGGUACCUGACUAAGAAGCACCGGCUAAAUACGUG